UAUGCUUCCCUUAGUCCAAAUACGACGACGUCGUUUUGGUUGAGCUAUUGUUUUUAGCACUAUAAAAAAAACCGCAAUCACGUUGGAGGAGAAUAUGAGAAGUUUCUUCUUUUCCUUGCAGUGUGUUCUACUUUACGCUUUGUUUGGUGGAAACAAUUUUGGAGAAAUUGAGAAGUUUAUUCUCUUUGUGAAAAGAGAAAAAGCCGAAAAGUGAGAAAACCUAACACUCCACCAUUUCUUCAAGUUUCGUUGAUUUUCCCGCCAAAAAACUCGCAUAAGUUUUUGAGUUGUUGAAGCCAAAAAUCAGUGUUUGUGAACCAGACAAUAGUCCCUUGAAGGUCAUCUAUGGAGCGAAACACUACUAGUGUUGUUAGUGAAAAUGAAGUGAAUUUUGAUGGUUUAAUGGUUUAAUGGGUACAUUAAUGAAGUGGAGUUGCAAGUAAGACGCAUGAGUAAUUUUGGGAUGGGUCAGAGAAGAGGCAGCAGAUAUGCGCUUUAGUGUUGCUGUGUUAUAUACUCAGAGUGAAAUAAGUGAUGAUAUCUCUAAGAAUGAGUGUAAGUCUGUUCAAUUGAUGACUCAGUUAGUACAAACUGAAAAAUGUUGAGAUAUAAUUCACAUGAGUCCGCAAGCGUUUCUGCAGCUGUGCGAAAUUAAGAUCAUCGGGUAGAAUGAAGGAUUCCACAAGGGGUACAGUUGAAGGGCAAGUCGCCGAAUUCCUAUUCAUUGUAGGGCAUGAUGCGAAAAUUAUCAUUCACGGGAGACAUUUAAUGGACGCUUUGACAAUGUUUUACGAUCCAUCAUAUCAUUGGAAAAUGAGUUCCUUGUCCAACCUUCUGAUGUAAAUUUGCCUCCAAAUAUUCUUGGGGAUAAAAGAUUCUAUCCUUACUUGAAGGUAAUAAUCUAUUUAAUUUAGCUGCUCAUUGCUUUUCAUUCAUGCAGUCCAUGAUUGAGUUUUUAUAGUGACAUAGUAAUGCAUUUAUAAAAAAGGAUUGCGUUGGAGUCAUCGGCGUAAUGCAUAGUCGAGUGAAGGUGCCAAUGAAAGAUGCCUCUCGGUUUUGUGAGAAAAAAAAGGCUUCCCCACACAAAUUAUUUUUGCUGCAUGUAAUUUUGAUAUUAAAUUUACAUACGUUUUAGCAGGGUGGGAAGGAUCAGCAUCUUACUCUAGAAUCUUAGGAGACGCAUUAACUCGAAAAGAUUCAUUGAAAAUUUAUAUAGAUAA